rnacentral:snRNA from 1 species
GGAUGUGAGGGCGAUCUGGCUGCGACAUCUGUCACCCCAUUGAUCGCCAGGGUUGAUUCGGCUGAUCUGGCUGGCUAGGCGGGUGUCCCCUUCCUCCCUCACCGCUCCAUGUGCGUCCUUCCCGAAGCUGCGCGCUCGGUCGAAGAGGACGACCAUCCCCAAUAGAGGAGGACCGUUCUUCGGUCAAGGGUAUACGAGUAGCUGCGCUCCCCUGCUAGAACCUCCAAACAAGCUCUCAAGGUCCAUUUGUAGGAGAACGUAGGGUAGUCAAGCUUCCAAGACUCCAGACACAUCCAAAUGAGGCGCUGCACGUGGCAGUCUGCCUUU